AGACCCGAAACCCGGUGAUCUAGCCAUGGGCAGGUUGAAGGUUGGGUAACACUAACUGGAGGACCGAACCGACUAAUGUUGAAAAAUUAGCGGAUGACCUGUGGCUGGGGGUGAAAGGCCAAUCAAACCGGGAGAUAGCUGGUUCUCCCCGAAAGCUAUUUAGGUAGCGCCUCGUGAAUUCAUCUCCGGGGGUAGAGCACUGUUUCGGCUAGGGGGCCAUCCCGGCUUACCAACCCGAUGCAAACUGCGAAUACCGGAGAAUGUUAUCACGGGAGACACACGGCGGGUGCUAACGUCCGUCGUGAAGAGGGAAACAACCCAGACCGCCAGCUAAGGUCCCAAAGUCAUGGUUAAGUGGGAAACGAUGUGGGAAGGCCCAGACAGCCAGGAUGUUGGCUUAGAAGCAGCCAUCAUUUAAAGAAAGCGUAAUAGCUCACUGGUCGAGUCGGCCUGCGCGGAAGAUGUAACGGGGCUAAACCAUGCACCGAAGCUGCGGCAGCGACGCUGAUGCGUUGUUGGGUAGGGGAGCGUUCUGUAAGCCUGCGAAGGUGGCCUGUGAGGGUUGCUGGAGGUAUCAGAAGUGCGAAUGCUGACAUAAGUAACGAUAAAGCGGGUGAAAAGCCCGCUCGCCGGAAGACCAAGGGUUCCUGUCCAACGUUAAUCGGGGCAGGGUGAGUCGACCCCUAAGGCGAGGCCGAAAGGCGUAGUCGAUGGGAAACGGGUUAAUAUUCCCGUACUUGGUGUUACUGCGAAGGGGGGACGGAGAAGGCUAUGUUGGCCGGGCGACGGUUGUCCCGGUUUAAGCGUGUAGGUGUGUGUUCCAGGUAAAUCCGGUUCACUUUAACACUGAGGCGUGAUGACGAGGCACUACGGUGCUGAAGCAACAAAUGCCCUGCUUCCAGGAAAAGCCUCUAAGCAUCAGGUAACAUCAAAUCGUACCCCAAACCGACACAGGUGGUCAGGUAGAGAAUACCAAGGCGCUUGAGAGAACUCGGGUGAAGGAACUAGGCAAAAUGGUGCCGUAACUUCGGGAGAAGGCACGCUGACACGUAGGUGAAGUGAUUUACUCACGGAGCUGAAGUCAGUCGAAGAUACCAGCUGGCUGCAACUGUUUAUUAAAAACACAGCACUGUGCAAACACGAAAGUGGACGUAUACGGUGUGACGCCUGCCCGGUGCCGGAAGGUUAAUUGAUGGGGUCAGCGCAAGCGAAGCUCCUGAUCGAAGCCCCGGUAAACGGCGGCCGUAACUAUAACGGUCCUAAGGUAGCGAAAUUCCUUGUCGGGUAAGUUCCGACCUGCACGAAUGGCGUAAUGAUGGCCAGGCUGUCUCCACCCGAGACUCAGUGAAAUUGAACUCGCUGUGAAGAUGCAGUGUACCCGCGGCAAGACGGAAAGACCCCGUGAACCUUUACUAUAGCUUGACACUGAACAUUGAGCCUUGAUGUGUAGGAUAGGUGGGAGGCUUUGAAGCGUGGACGCCAGUCUGCGUGGAGCCGACCUUGAAAUACCACCCUUUAAUGUUUGAUGUUCUAACGUGGACCCGUUACCCGGGUUGCGGACAGUGUCUGGUGGGUAGUUUGACUGGGGCGGUCUCCUCCUAAAGAGUAACGGAGGAGCACGAAGGUUGGCUAAUCCUGGUCGGACAUCAGGAGGUUAGUGCAAUGGCAUAAGCCAGCUUGACUGCGAGCGUGACGGCGCGAGCAGGUGCGAAAGCAGGUCAUAGUGAUCCGGUGGUUCUGAAUGGAAGGGCCAUCGCUCAACGGAUAAAAGGUACUCCGGGGAUAACAGGCUGAUACCGCCCAAGAGUUCAUAUCGACGGCGGUGUUUGGCACCUCGAUGUCGGCUCAUCACAUCCUGGGGCUGAAGUAGGUCCCAAGGGUAUGGCUGUUCGCCAUUUAAAGUGGUACGCGAGCUGGGUUUAGAACGUCGUGAGACAGUUCGGUCCCUAUCUGCCGUGGGCGCUGGAGAACUGAGGGGGGCUGCUCCUAGUACGAGAGGACCGGAGUGGACGCAUCACUGGUGUUCGGGUUGUCAUGCCAAUGGCACUGCCCGGUAGCUAAAUGCGGAAGAGAUAAGUGCUGAAAGCAUCUAAGCACGAAACUUGCCCCGAGAUGAGUUCUCCCUGAGACUUAGAGUCUCCUGAAGGAACGUUGAAGACGACGACGUUGAUAGGCCGGGUGUGUAAGCGCAGCGAUGCGUUGAGCUAACCGGUACUAAUGAACCGUGAGGCUUAACCUUACAACGCCGAAG
rnacentral:rRNA from 3 species